rnacentral:rRNA from 1 species
AUUGAACGCUGGCGGCGUGCCUAACACAUGCAAGUCGAAGGAAGCGGCGCACGGGUGAGUAAUAUAUAGCUAACCUGCUCCUUGCUGGGGGACACCAGUGAGACAUGACGGCUAAUACUCCUUAGCAAGGGAUGAGACCAUAUCGGAUCAGCUAGUCGGUGGGGUAACGGCCUACCGAGGCUAUGAUGCGUAACUGGUCUGAGAGGAUGAUCAGUCACAUUGGAACUGAGAAACGGGCGAAACUCAUACGGGAGGCAGCAGUAGGGAAAUGUGCGCAAGGGGGGAAACCCUAAAGCAGCAACGGGGCGUAGAGGAUGGCAAUUGUGGGAGCGUGAGCUCCGUUUGUUAGGGAAGCGGUACCUAACGAAUAAGCACCGGCUAACUCCGUGCCAGCAGCCGCGGUAAUAC